UCAAUAUACCAUUGAAUAAUCUAUUUUGUUUCAAUUUAUCAUAAUAUACAUUUUAUUAAAAAAAAAGGAAACUAAUGAAUUAAAUUUGUAACUCACACUUUUUGAUGAAAAUACAAAUUUAAAGUGAGACUUAUUUUUUCACUGUAUUUAUGUUAGGUAGUUAAAUAAGAAGGUAACAAGGAAAAAGUUAGUAAAGUUAAAAAGAAUAAGAGAAUAAUAAAAAUAAAUUGGCAAAAAAUAAAAAUAAAAUAUAUUCAAAAAGUAAAGAAGGGAUAAUAAUAAUAAUAAUAAUUAUAUAACUAAGCAAGGAUUAUUAAAGGGAAAAAAAAGAUAAAAGAAAAUACAUAUGAUUAAAAAUUAGAGUUUAAAAUAUAAAAAAAAUGAAUAAUAUAAUUGCAAAUGAAGAAUGAUAAUUGAUAUAUCGAUAGAUGUUUCAAAUGUUAAAUGUUAAUUUCAAUUAGUCUAAAAAAAAUUUAUUAAACAUAAAUUGUUGGGCCCGUGCGAAGCACGGGCAUAAUGUCUAGUCUAACAUAAGGCAGAGAUGAUUAAAAUAUAAAUAACUAUCAAACAUAUACCACAUACUUGUCAAUUUCAGAUAUUCCAACUUUGUAUACAAUACAUUGAAUUUGUCAGCAUCUCUAUAAUGAUUAUGACAAUAUCUAAAAUAACACCAACAAUUGGCGUAGCUAGGAAUUUAGUUCAGGCUGUUCAAUCUUUGAAGAAGUAAAUAAAGUAUUUAUGAUGAAUGGGUGCACC
rnacentral:lncRNA from 1 species